rnacentral:lncRNA from 1 species
UGAGUAGGAUUUCAGUAGGGAAAAAACAAAAAAGGUCUUGCUUUUUUAAACGAAGUUUGCUGGAGGCCAGGCGCGGUGGCUCAUGCCUGUAAUCUCAGCACUUUGGGAGGCCAAGGCGAGUGGAUCACAUAAGGCCAAGAGUUCAAGACCAGCCUGACCGACAUGGUGAAACCCCGUCUCUACUAAAAAUACAAAAAAAUUAGCCGGGUGUGGUGGCGGGCGCCUGUAAUCCCAGCUACUUAGGAGGCUGAAGCAGGAGAAUCGCUUGAACCUGGGAGGCGGAGGUUGCAGUGAGCUGAGAUGGAGCCAUUGCACUCUGAGAGUCCUUCCAGCUCUCGCCUGCAGGGUGCAGGGGUCCAGACCCCGGCUGUCUCUGGCCUUUGCUGUCUUAGGAGCUUCUCCUUGCCUCCCUCCCUUUUUAGAUCAUCCUUCCUCCUCCCGGUGGAUUCAGAGGACAAUUUUCCAUGAAGAACUCAGACUGGGCCAUCCCCAGGACUCUGGGUCUUAGGCAGUUGUUCAAGUGAUCCUCCUCGGCAUCAGGACAGGAGAUGAGCCCACUUGCGGCUGAAGAGACCCUAGAGUCACAGGCAAGCCAGUUCACUGGUUUUAUCAACCUCGUUAUCGCUGUGCCCGUACUGGAAAGUAAACUUGGGUUCUAUCAUCUGCCCUGCAAUGAGCUGACUGGCCACAAGGGAGCAGCAGGAGGCAACAGCCGGGCCUGGAAAUUGCCCUUCUAACCGCAGCCCCACCAAACAAUGCCCGCCACAAGGUCCUCGGAAGAGAAGGACCCGCGCCCCUGCCGCCAAACUGUGUUCAGAGAGAAGCCACGGCCCCAUCGCUGGUUGGGAGAGUGAGAGAGAACUAGAAGGCUUAGGCCCCGACUCCUCUGUGCUCAGCCCUUAGCUGGGCAUGGGCAGAGGGGUCUGGGGGUGGGGUGUCCUGAGCCUCUAGUCCCCAUCUUUUUUAGCACAGGGGUGUGGGGUCCCCGGAGUGGCUCACGGAGCUCUCAACCUAAUGGAGGAGCUGGGACUGCCACACACGCGCACGCACACACACACACACACACACACACACACACACACAAUGAGAGAACCACGCGGAGCAGGGGUCGGCUUCAGGGCAGUCCCUAAGAGCUGGGGGAGCGAGUCGGUGGGCGGUUGUGCUGGGCCGGCUUCCGGCAGGCUGGGCGCAGCCAGGGCCGGGUGGGGAUCACACUUCAGUCAGGAGGAACCACAGGGCCGCGUGGCGCCCGCCUGCCUGAGCCUGGAGUGGGCUAGGAAGUCAGCCGCAGGCAGAGGGCCCAGGACCCACAGAGCCCCCUCGCCCUGGAGCUGGGGUCUGGAGUUUGAGCGGGGAGAGGGAGCCAGGGCCAGGAGGAGCCGGGCCAGCUGGACUGCAGGCAGGACCAGAGGUUCUCUGAGAACCCUCCCAGAGUGACAGGCCGGAGUGGAAGCGCAUCUUGCGCUGUGGGGACAGACACGCUGACACAGACUGAGGAUAAAGACUUUAAUCUGGGCCCUUUGUGCCCAUGGCUCCAGUUCAGACAAGGGGA